AUCUUCUUCAAAGGAAUUCCUAGUGCUGAGGAAAGCCAAGAGACAACCAUCUUUCUGGAUUCUUCUUUCUUGUCUCUUGCUCCAGCUCAGCUCAAGGAAGUU
rnacentral:rRNA from 1 species